UACGAGCGCACCCUUGUCCUUAUUUGCCAGCGCGUAAUGGCGGGAACUCUAAGGAGACUGCCGGUGACAAACCGGAGGAAGGUGGGGACGACGUCAAGUCAUCAUGGCCCUUACGAGUAGGGCUACACACGUGCUACAAUGGUCGGUACAAAGGGUUGCCAACUCGCGAGAGUGAGCUAAUCCCGAAAAGCCGAUCUCAGUCCGGAUCGGAGUCUGCAACUCGACUCCGUGAAGUCGGAAUCGCUAGUAAUCGUGGAUCAGAAUGCCACGGUGAAUACGUUCCCGGGCCUUGUACACACCGCCCGUCACACCAUGGGAGUGGACUGCACCAGAAGUGGUUAGCCUAACGCAAGAGGGCGAUCACCACGGUGUGGUUCAUGACUGGGGUGAAGUCGUAACAAGGUAGCCGUAGGGGAACCUGCGGCUGGAUCACCUCCUU
rnacentral:rRNA from 1 species